UAGCCUGGGUGCCUCGAUGAAGAUUUAGGCUCUCAGAGCUUGUUUGUUGUCCCCUAGCGUUGUCAUCUCAGCCUUCUGCCCUUCCGCCUAAGGAGGAAGAUAAACUAAGUCUCAGGACGUACCUUGCCCUAUCCAGAGUUGUGCCAUGGCAGAGACUGGUGAAGAGGAGAAGGUGUCAGCAGAGGCCUCAGGGUUCUCAGACCUGAGUGACUCAGAGUUCCUGGACCUGGAAGAUACCGAAGUGUCAGAUGCUUCACUUAGCAAGCCUGGCCCUUCUUCUGAAUGCUCAGGGACGGAUAGAAAGUCUAUAAGCUUACAGAAAUGGAAAAGAGGAUUGGAUGUCUCAUCACCCAUGGAGCGAUUCCAUUUUAAGUACUUAUAUGUCACUGACCUAUCUACCCAGAACUGGUGUGAACAGCAAAUGGUCUAUGGGAAGGAGUUUCCUGGCUUCUCGACACCUGAGAAAGCAACUCUUUUGGACACUGGUGCUAGCAUCCACCUAGCUAAAGAACUAGAAGUUCAAGAUCUUGUGACUAUCCCCAUCACCACUAAAGAAGAUGCUUGGGCAAUAAAGUUUCUCAACAUACUAUCAAUGGUUCCUACGCUGCAGUCAGAGGGGCGCAUCAGAGAGUUUCCGGUGUUCGGGGAAGUGGAGGGUGUGCUUCUUGUUGGGGUGAUUGAUGAGCUGCACUAUACCGCCAAGGGGGAGCUGGAACUGGCUGAACUCAAGACACGGAAGCGUCCUGUGCUCCCUGUGGAAGCUCAGAAAAAGAAAGACGGUUUUCAAGUCAGCCUAUAUAAAUAUAUCUUUGAUGCCAUGGUAAAAGGGAAAAUGACCCCUGCUAGCCUAAUCCACCAUACAAAAUUGUGUCCAGAAAAGCCACUGGGUCCCUCAGUCCUGAGGCAUGCUCAACAGGGAGGCUUCUCUGUGAAGUCGUUAGGUGACCUGAUGGAGCUGGUAUUUUUGUCUCUGACGCUGUCUGAUCUUCCGGUCAUUGACAUCCUGAAGAUUGAAUAUAUCCACCAAGAGACUGCUACUGUGCUGGGUACAGAGAUUGUUGCCUUUGAAGAGAAGGAGAUGAGAGGCAAGGUGCAGCACUACGUGGCCUACUGGAUGGGGCACCGAGAACCUCAGGGGGUUGAUGUGGAGGAGGCUUGGAAGUGCCGCACAUGCGACUACAUAGACAUCUGUGAGUGGAGGAAGGGUGGUUGGGUGCCCAGCUCUACGCUGGAGCCCAAAGCCAAAAAAAAACCUCACAAAUGAACGGAAGUUAUUGAAGGCAAUUUGAUCCUGUUCCUUGUGUAUUCGGCAGAGUAAAAGGAUCAGUGUCUGGGCUUGGCUUUCAUGAAGAGUGUUUUUAUUUUGCUUAUUUUCCUAUUUCCUCAACCUGAAAUCAUACUCAAAUCUUGGACCAAGGCUCAGGGAUGAGUGGGAGAGAUCUCCCUGAAGCUUUGCUAUGGAUUGCCAAGCAGAUAUUCAUCAUGGCCAGAGCAAAAAUAUCAUUCAGCAAAUACUGCUUUCCUGAGAAAAUUGGUAUUUAAUAAUUCCCUUCUCUAUUUGUCCUCAGUCAAGGUUUUCUAUAUUUUUAUAAUGAAAUGCUGUCCAGGACAGUUGAACUGAUGUUUUUUUUUUUCAUAAUCUCAGCCCUUCAAAAAUGAUCCCUAUUUUUCCUCAAUCAAGGUUUUCUAUAUUUUAUAGAAUAAAAUGAACAAUGACCAGGACAGUUGAACUGAUGUUUUGUUUUUCCAUAAUGUCAACCCUUCAGAAAUGACCACUCUAAAGAACUGUGUGUAUAUUAUCCAGAUUUUAAAUCAUUUCUCGUUGUUAGUAGCUGUUGAGUCAGCUCUGACUCUUGGCGACUUCUCAAGCAGAAUUAGUGUAAUGGGUAGACCAAGAAUUUAAAUAAAUAAGUAUUCUCAAAGAGAUAAGCAAAACUGAAGCAGUAACAGGAAAUUUUAAAGUAAAAAUAUUAGAUAUGAAAAAUACAUAAAUGUAAGAUAGCAUGUAAAGUUGAGCAUUUACAUGCUGUACAAUCUAGCAGUACCACUCCUAGGUAUAUACUCAGAGAAACCUUUAUAUGUACAACAAGAAAUAUAGGCAAGAAUAUACAUUAUAAUGCUUUUGUAAUAGCAAAAACCUAGGAGCUACUCAGGUGUCCGUCAUCAGAAGAAUGGGUGAUGUGGUACAGCAGCCAAAACAAAUGAGCUACGAUGACACAACUAUAUGGAUGAAUCUUAGCAAUACAAUAUUAAGUGAAAAAAAUAAGUUCCAAAAGAUUACAUACAACAUGAUACCCUUUUUAUAAUGUGAAAAAAAAAAUUCUUCAGGAAAUUAUAAAGGUAGUGGAGAGGAAUCACGAUGCCUCUUAGAAGACAGUAGAGCCCUUAGCUACAAACCUCACCAAAGGGGCCAGAGGAAAGAAUUAUAUGAAUACCACCUGGAAGGGAUCUUCUUAUAGCAUGGCAUCUUCCGCCAUCUGUGCUUCCUUGCUUCUGUGUCUAAACUGCUCAAAGGAGAUUGAAGAAGUACACAGGAUCACUGGACAAACAAGAAUUGGUUGAUGUCUAAUCAUUUCAGGAGAUAGCAUAUGAUCAAGAACUGACGGUAGUGAAGGAAGAAGUCCAAGCUACACUGAAGACAUUGGUGAAAAACUAGGUUCCAGGAAUUGAUGGAGUACCAACUGAGAUGUUCAACAGAUGCAGUGCUGGAAGUGCUCACUCACUUAUGCUGAGAAAAUUGAAAGACAACUACCUGGCCAACUGACAGGAAGAUACCCAUAUUUAUGCCUGUUCCCCAAAAAGGUGAUCCAACCAAACGUGGAAAUUAUCAAACAAUAUCAUUAAUAUCACAUGCAAGUAAAAUUUUGUGGCGGUACAUCAACAGGGAACUGCCAGAAAUUCAAGUCGGAUUCAGAAGACGAUGUGGAAUGAGGGAUAUCAUUGCUGAGGUCAAAUGGAUCCUGGCUGAAAGCAGAGAAUACCAGAAAGAUGUUUACCUGUGUUUUAUUUAUUAUGCAAAGGCAUUCCACUGUGUAGAUCAUAAGAAAUUAUGAAUAACAUUUUGAAGAAUGGGAAUUCCAGAACACUUAACGGUGCCCGUGAGGCAGAACAUGUACAUAGAUCAAGGGACAGUCAUUUGAACAGAACAAGGGGAUACUGCUUGCUUUAAAGACAGGAAGGGUGUGCGUCAGGAUUGUAUCCUUUCAGCAUACUUAUUCAAUCUGUAUGUGGAGCAAAUAAUCCAAGAAGCUGGACUGUGUGAAGAAUAACACGCCAUCAGGAUUGAAGGAACACUCAUUAACAACCUGCAAUAUGCAGAUGGCACAACCUUGCUUGCUGAAAGUGAAGAAGUCUUGAAGCACUGAUGAAGAUUAAAGACCACAGUCUUCAGUAUGGAUUACACCUCAAAACAAAAAUCCUCACAACUGGACCAAUAAACAACAUCAUGAUAAACAGAGAGAAGAUUGAAGUUGUGAAGGAUUUCAUUCUGUCUAGAUCCACAGCCAACACCUAUGGAAGCAGCAGUCAAGAAAUCAAAGGAAAGGACCCCGGUGGUCAUGGCCCCCAGACCUUCUCUUGGCCCAGGACAGGAACCAUUUCUGAAGCCAACUCUUCAGACAUGGAUUGGACUGGACAAUGGGUUGGAGAGGGAUGCUGGUGAGGAGUGAGCUUCUUGGAUCAGGUGGACACUUGAGACUAUGUUGGCAUCUCCUGCCUGGAGGGCAGAUGAGAGGGUGAAGGGGGUUAGAAGCUGGCGAAACGGACACGAAAAGAGAGUGGAGGGAGAGAGCGGCUGUCUUAUUAGGGGGAGAGUAGUUGGGAGUGUGUAGUAAGGUGUAUAUGGGUUUUUGUGUGAGAGACUGACUUGAUUUGUAAACUUUCACUUAAAGCACAAUAAAAAUUAUAAAAAAGAAAAAUCAAAGGAAGGCCACAUAAACCAGAGACUACAUCAGUCUGAGACCAGAAGAACUAGAUGGUACCUGGCUACAACCGAUGACUGCCCCGACAGGGAACACAACAGAGAACCCCUGUGGGAGCAGGAGAGCAGUGGGAUGCAGACCUCAAAUUCUCAUAAAAGGACCAGAUUUGAUGGUCUGACUGAGACUGGAAGGACCCCAGAGGUCAUGGUCCCUGGAACCUUCUGCUAGCCCAAGACAGGAACCAUUCCCAAAGCCAGCUCUUCAGACAGGGAUUGGACUGGACUGUGGGAUAGAAAAUGAUACUGGUGAGGAGUGAGCUGCUUGGGUCAUGUAGACAGACUAUGUGGGCAGCUUCUGUCUGGAGGGGAGAUGAGAGGACAGAGGGGGUCAGAAGCUGACUGAAUGCACACAAAAAUAGAGGGUGAAAAGAAGGAGGAGUGUGCUGUCCCGGGGAGAGCAACUAGGAGUAUAUAGCAAGGUGUAUAUAAAUUUUUGUUUGAGAAAUGGACUCGAUUUGUAAACUUUCACUUAAAGCACAAUAAAAAUUUAAAAAAUCAAAGGACACAUUGCAUUGGGCAAAUGUGUUGCAAAAGAUUUCUUUAAAGUGUUGAAAAGCAAAGAUACCCCCUUGAAGACUAAGGUGCACCUGACCUGACCCAAGCCAUUGUGUUUUCAAUAACCUCAUAGGCAUAUGAAUGCCAGACAGUGAAUAAGGAAGACCGAGGAAGAAUUGAUGCCUUUGAGUUGUGGUCUUGGAGAAGAAUGUUGAAUAUACUAUGGACUGGCAAAAGAAUGAACAAAUCUGUCCUGGAAGAAGUACAGCCACAAUGCUCCUUAGAAGGAGACUGCAUCUCACAUACUUUGAAUGUGUUAUCAGGAGGGACCAGUCCUUAGAGAAGGACAUCAUGCUUGGUAAAGUGGAGGGUCAGCAAAAAAGAGGAAGACCCUCAAGGAGAUGGAUUGAUCUAGUGGCUGCAACAACGGGCUAAAGCAUAACAAUCAUCAGGAUGGUGCAGGACCUAGCAGUGUUUCGUUCUGUUGUGCAUAGGAUCUCUAUGAGUUGGAACCGACUCAACAUCACCUAACAACAAGAACAACAGCAACAUACAAUGGGUAUUUAAAGCAGUGGAACUGAAUGAGAUCAUUUAGAGAAAUUUAUAAAAGGCUCAAGGCCGAGCCCUUGAGCAUUCCAACAUUGGAGGUACAAUAGAGGAAUUGUGUUUAGUAAAGAAAACAGAAACAGUUUAAAUGAUGUGGGAGAAACUAGCUACAUGAGACGUUUUAGAAGCAAAGAGAAGGAAGUAUUUCAAUUUUGUCGAAUGCCGCUGAGGUGAAAUAUGAUGAGGACAGAGAAAGUCCACGUAGAAUUUCAUUGAUAAAUUGACAAAAGUGUCAGGAGAGUAGUUAGCACCAAGAAGCCCAGUUGGAGGGGUUUGAGGAGAGAAUUGGAAGUGGGUAAAUAUAGGCAGCAACAAUAAGCAACUCCUUAGAGAAAGUUUUCUGUGAAGCAAUGCUGAGAAAUGGAGCAAUUGCUGGAGUGGGCCAUAAGUCGAGAAAGGAUUUUUUCAAGAUUGCAGAUAAAUAUCUUUAUGACAUUGAAAAUGCUAGCAAAUUCUCUCACAUUCCUAAAUUACUAACAUUUUAUAGAAUCUAGGAUACUAUCAGAAGACCUGGUAGCGAAGUGGUUAAGUGCUCAACUGCCAGCCAGUAGGUUGGUGGUUCUAACUCACCAGCCACUCCAUGGAGAAACAGAUGGCAGUCUACAUAGUACAUAUUUACAUCCUUGGAAACCCUGUGGGCGGAUGUGCUCUGUCCUAUAGGUCGCCGUGAGUCGGAAGAGACUUGUCGGCAACAGGUUUGGCUUUGGUUUUAAGAUGCUAUUGCUUAUAAGAUGUAUCAUUAUCUGUGUUACCACUAAGAAAAAAAUGCUGCCAGUUAAACUAAACGAUCAUUUGUAAGAUAGCAAUUUCACAGAUGUUGAAAUAUGAAAAAAGUGUGUAUCAUGACCAGUGUAAUACAGUAUUUUGUAUCUUUUCUCUCCUUAAACCUCCAAUACCUCCUCCCUAUCCUCACGUUCAGCUCCCUAUUUCACUGAGAAAAUAGAAGCCCUCAGAAGAGGAUGUCCUCAUUCUCCUACCAAAUCUGUCCACCUGUCUGCAUCUAUACCUACGUACUCUGCCAUCCCUUCUAUUCCAGUGGAUAAAUUGUCCGUGCUCCUGCUUUGUUUUUUUUCAUUAUCUAAUUUUAUUUUUCAUUUAUGCUGCAAAAGCCGUUUAAACAGACAGGCUAUUUUUUUUUUAAAUAAAAGUAUAUUGUUUUGCUUACAAUUUUUAGCCCAACAAAUUUAAAAUAUUUAACGAGAAAUCCCUGGUGGCAUAGUGGUUAAGAACUACAGCUGCUAACCAAAGGGUCAGCGCUCCUUGGAAACUUGACAGCAAUGGGGUUAACUAUAAUGAAUACAUUAAUGAUUUCUAAUUGGGUGGUGGAAUAUAUACCUUGGAAUCUAGUACAUUCUCAGUCUGCUCUGCCGUCUGUUUCUGUGAAACAUUGCUGUCCUGAGUGACUGCUGUUGUUUAUUUUCCUGCUGAUCAAUUUGAAUUUUAACACUGUAUUCCAAGGGUAACAUCCUUUAAGAUCAGUCAUUGUGAUCCAAGGUAGGCACAUUAGGCAUACUUCUCUACUUUGAUCUAAUCCCUCCAGUUAUGUACUGGGUUCCAUCCAUCCCUUCUCUCCUCAAGGACUUGCUCUUGAAACUAUCCUGUCUUUCCCUUAUUAUCAAAAUUUCUCUUUCUACUAGAUCAUUUUAAUUAGGAUACAAACAUGCUGUAAUUUCUUCCACCUUUAAAUAAAAAAUAACCCUCAACACCAAAUCCAUACCCAAUUACAGCCUUAUUUUUCUGUUCAUCUUAAAAGCAAAAUUUCUUAGAAGUGUGUCUGUCUGCCGUCUCCCAUAUCUUCUUCCCCCAUUCUUUCGUCCAACUCUUAUCAAGUAACCAAACUCAUCAAACUUUACUAAACUUCAACUAUUGUACCCACACUGCCUGAGUCAACAUAAACAGUGACUACCAUGCUGCUGGAAACCCUGGUGGCUUAGUGGUUAAGUGCUACAGGCUGCACUUGGGUGGGACCACACUGCUAAAUUCUUAGCUGUCAUCUUACUUGGCCUAUCAGCAACAUUUGAUACAGUGAUCACUC